GACGAACGCUGGCGGCGUGCCUAAUACAUGCAAGUAGAACGCUGAAGGAGGAGCUUGCUUCUCUGGAUGAGUUGUGAACGGGUGAGUAACGCGUAGGUAACCUGCCUGGUAGCGGGGGAUAACUAUUGGAAACGAUAGCUAAUACCGCAUAAUAGUAGAUGUCGCAUGACAUUUGCUUAAAAGGUGCAAUUGCAUCACUACCAGAUGGACCUGCGUUGUAUUAGCUAGUUGGUGAGGUAACGGCUCACCAAGGCAACGAUACAUAGCCGACCUGAGAGGGGGAUCGGCCACACUGGGACUGAGACACGGCCCAGACUCCUACGGGAGGCAGCAGUAGGGAAUCUUCGGCAAUGGACGGAAGUCUGACCGAGCAACGCCGCGUGAGUGAAGAAGGUUUUCGGAUCGUAAAGCUCUGUUGUAAGAGAAGAACGAGUGUGAGAGUGGAAAGUUCACACUGUGACGGUAUCUUACCAGAAAGGGACGGCUAACUACGUG
rnacentral:rRNA from 1 species